GCCGUUCCCAUACCAAAACGGCGCCGCUUCAAAUAAAACUGUUCAUCUCCUUCAUAACGAUUCAGCGGAAACGGCAGCAGAUCGUGGUAACAUCCCUCUCGCCCCCACAUUGCAUGCCAUUACUGAGGGGGGGAAGCACAGGACAGAGAGAACGAAGAGGGGAGAGAAAAACAGAAACACCAAGAACGAGAGACAAGAAGGAACAGAAAAACCCAGAAAAAACAGAGACGAGCAAACAGAGAAAAAACCAGGGAGGAACGAACAGAGAAAAAGACAGGGAUACAGAGGAAGAAAAUAAAGAAGAGAGGGAAAGACAGACAUUACAGAGAGGGAGAGACAGACACAGAGACGGAAAAAAAAAAGACAGAAAGAAAGACAAGAGAGGACGAAGAAGAAAAACAAGACGAAGCAGAGGAGAGCGUCCGAUUCGACCAGCAACUUCACGUCUUCAUCGCCAUCGUCUUCGUCUCAGAACCAGAGCUUGUCAGGAAGACGCCACAGCAAAAGAGACGAAGAAGGAAUCCAGAAAGCAAGAAAAAAAGGAAAACCAGAGAAAGAACAUAUAGGAGAAGACGGUUAGCCAGCACACCUUCGCCAUCGCCUUCGACGUCUCCAGACCAGCUUUGAUGAGACGAGUACAUUUAUCAUGGGAAAAGUUAGCAGGAAACAAAAGCAAGGUUUCUCAACAUGGAGGGCAUGUGAAUGAACGCUCAUCACAAGUCAUCCAUGUGAAUGAAGCCUUCUCUAAGCAAGCGAGCCCAAAUGGAUUCUGUUUUAUGCUUAACCCUUCUUCUUUACUAUCUCUAUGCAAGUAGAACAAUCGGUAAUUACUAGGCAUAGACGUCAUACUCUCUUAAAGACCCCCCGCCGAGGAGAAAUCGUGACUCAAACCUGUCCAGUAAGAUCAAAGCUUGUGAUCAAUUCAACCGGUUUUACUUAGGUUCCUUGUAAGCCCAACUGCGGCUAUAUAAUGAAUGAAGGGCAUGAGGUCAGGGUUUGUCGAUUCAAGUCGUAGGCCGACCAGCGGUAUUGGGCUUUAUGUCUUCUUCUAACUUAAGAGUUCUCUUUGAGAUUGGUGAUUUAAUUCCUCUCCUUUUCCUUUUCUGUUCAUUCAUACAAUUUGCCUCUUCGGAUUAUUUCAAAAAAGAAUUCAGGAAAUAAAAACAGGCCUAGACUGAGGGCCGAGGAACAGUUUUAUUCGAA